UACGUAGGGUGCAAGCGUUAAUCGGAAUUACUGGGCGUAAAGCGUGCGCAGGCGGCUAUGCAAGACAGAUGUGAAAUCCCCGGGCUCAACCUGGGAACUGCAUUUGUGACUGCAUAGCUAGAGUACGGUAGAGGGGGAUGGAAUUCCGCGUGUAGCAGUGAAAUGCGUAGAUAUGCGGAGGAACACCGAUGGCGAAGGCAAUCCCCUGGAUCUGUACUGACGCUCAUGCACGAAAGCGUGGGGAGCAAACAGG
rnacentral:rRNA from 1 species